UACGUAGGGGGCAAGCGUUAUCCGGAUUUACUGGGUGUAAAGGGAGCGUAGACGGCACGGCGAGCCAGAUGUGAAAGCCCGGGGCUCAACCCUGGGACUGCAUUUGGAACUGCUGAGCUAGAGUGUCGGAGAGGCAAGUGGAAUUCCUAGUGUAGCGGUGAAAUGCGUAGAUAUUAGGAGGAACACCAGUGGCGAAGGCGGCUUGCUGGACGAUGACUGACGUUGAGGCUCGAAAGCGUGGGGAGCAAACAGG
rnacentral:rRNA from 1 species